rnacentral:rRNA from 1 species
UACGGGGGGGGCGAGCGUUGUCCGAAGUUACUGGGCGUAAAGCGCGUGUAGGCGGGUUGUUAAGUCCGCUGUGAAAGCCCGGUGCUCAACGCCGGAGGGUCGGUGGAUACUGGCAGUCUUGAAGUGGCUAGGGGGAAAUGGAAUUACCGGUGUAGCGGUGAAAUGCGUAGAUAUCGGUAGGAACACCAGUGGCGAAGGCGGUUUCCUGGAGCCCACUUGACGCUGAGACGCGAAAGCGUGGGGAGCAAACAGG